rnacentral:rRNA from 1 species
AUGCGUUCCACGGCCUUCCAGUGCGCUGCUGCUACCGGGUACCGAACAGUCAAGCUUGCGCGCUGCAAGCGCUGCGUGUCGUCGGAGCAGAAAGGAAUUCGGCGCCUUGAUGGGUCAAUACAGCAUCGAGGGCUUGUUUCGCCCCGGCCAUCCUUCAGAACACUGGCUUGCACAGGACAACCGUCCGACGACAUGGAUGAACGAUGGGCCCAUAUUUGUUCUUCUGCACUUUCAGCCAAGCAGGGCGAUAUGAUGGGGCAAGUGCAAGACGAUUGUCCACCAUCAAAUGUGGAGUUAGGCAGUGCCUAUCCCGGUGGUUUGUCAGAGAAGGAAAUCGAAAGAAGACGAAAGAUUAGUGCUGCAAACAAGGGGAAGGCUCCCUGGACCAAAGGAAGGAAAUUAACCCAAGAGCACAGGCAGCGCAUCAAGCAGGGCACUAUCGAGGCUCUGAGAGAUCCCAAGGUUAAGAAGAAAAUGCUAGGACACCGUCAGUUGCAUAGACAAUCGAGCAAAGACAAAAUAAGCGCCGCGCUGAGAAAGGUAUGGGAGAGGAGAAUGAUUUCUGUCAGGUCAAGACAGAUGAUCCUUCGUAUAUGGUCAGAGAGUAUCGCUGAGGCAGCGAAAGAAGGUGACCACGGGCAAGAUAAGCUGGACUGGGACAGCUAUGACAAGAUACAGUCUGAGAUGAUGUCUGUGUUCCUUUGGAACAAAGAGAAAGAACGGGUAACCAAGAAGCUUAAAAGGGUGGUGACAAAAAUUGUUGCCAAGAAGCUUCAAGCAGCAGCGAAAAUGGAGCUACUGACUAAAAGAACAAAGAAGGCGAAACCUGAGAAGCUGGUGCUGCAAAAGUCAGAUGCUCAGCCGAGACGGGUGUUGGCAUCCACAAGACCGAAGCUUAAAGAGAGGCUGACCAAGUGGCACGGUCGCAAAAAGGAGCUCGAGAUCGUGAUAAGCGCACGGACAAGGGGGGGUGGAGGGCUGCGUAAGCCUGCGGUCGCGAGGCGAAGAGCGGUGGAGAGGCGAGCCGAGGUGGACCUGGUGACGGAGCCUGGGGCUCCCCCUGGCCGGCUGAAGGAGCUUCACUCGCCUUGCAAGGAUGGGCUCCCCUGCGGUGACACCUGA